CUGCUUUGCCUCGCAGCUGGAGAAGCCACCUCGCUUCCCCUCCACUCUACUGGGGUGACGAGAUAGCAACUGACGUCAGCUCGGGCUGAUUGCGUCACGACCGCAGGCAAAUCGCCGCUCUUGCCAAAGCGCUUCUUCUCUCGCCUUCUGGAAAGGCCUCCGGAUUCGGGUUCGGUCCAGGCGGCGGGGCUGGUGGCCCGCGUGUAAGCCGGGGCUUCCACCACACACCUCACUUCCGGCGGGGGACGGGGCGGGGGGGCGUGUGUCUGCACGAGGUCUCGCGUGAAGUGGCUCUGCGGGAGCGGGAGCGGGAGCGGGAGCGGGAGCGGGUGCGACGCACGCGGCGGCGCAGGCGUCGGCCGCCCCGAGACCCACCGACACCCUUCGGGAGGUCGCAGCAGGCCCGACGCUGCGGGGGCUUCCCUGGAACCGGGCUGUGCCCCCGCGGCCACGUGGGGAGGCGGCGGCAGAGCCCCUCGGAGCGCCGCGUGCCUCCCGGAGGACGGCGAGAGCCGCAGCCCCGGCGGCUGCUGGGCCGCGGAGGCGGACAUUUGGAAACCAGCUCCGUGGAAGUUGUGAGGCACCCAGAGAGCACAAACUUCUAUCUUUUAUCUCAUGGAUCCAAUGUAACUGUUACCGAAGAACUCAGGAACUUGGCAGGUUCGCAGCUAGUCCAUAUGGCAGUCGAGGAGAAGACAUCCUGCCCUAAAGACACUUGAGCACUCUCUGCCAGGAAAUUGUCUCCAUUGUGAAUGGUGCCCCCUGGUUGUAAACAACUGCACUACUGUAUAUGGCAGCUCAGCAGAGGUCAGAGAUUUCUUUUUUUUACUUUGUUCUCCUCAGUACUACAAAUGUGAGAAUUAUCGAGCUGAAGGGGGACUUUAUGAUUAUUUGACAGUUCGGAAAACUGAGGCCCAAUAGGCAAAAUGCGUCGUCAAAUGUAGUUGAUGAAAGGCAUGGAAUUAGGGCCCGUAUCUUCUCACUCGUUCGCUGCAACAUUUUCCACUUGGAUAAAAUUUUAAAAACCCAACGUUGGUUUAAAAAAAAUAAAGAUAAUAAAUAUACAGAUGUGGGAAGUUAACUUUAUUAUCAAACGAUUCACCCCAAUAAAAAUGACAAAAACAGAUUCCGUCUGCUGUUUAAAGUACGCUACUUUAUCAAAAGCAAACUUGCACGCAAUUUCUAGAAAUGUGUUUUUGUUUGGAGCAGAAUACUCCUGGGUAAGUAGUGAUACAAUGUUAAGGUCUGCAUGGUGUUUAAUAUGCUAAAAACCAUAGUUACCUCUUCU
rnacentral:lncRNA from 1 species